UUAUUAGCUUGCUUACUGUUGAAACGCGGUUUUUAUAUAGUAAAUUUAUAUGAUAUAAAAUUCACUGUUAAUCAUUAUUCAAAGUUAUAAAGUAAAUGGAAUUCUAAACUAUUAGGGUAUUGGUAAGUUGUACUUGGCUUUCGUUCUCUGGUGCUUGCUGUUAUUAAAAAGAAUCUAAUAUCUUAAGUUUCGUGGUCUUUACUAAAAGCCAAGACCAAUAAAAACGAGCGAAACCAAAAACAUUAUAUUAUAUAGAUGCUUUGUGUCCCGAUUUUUACGGAGGAGAGCGCAACGAUAAACUAAUUAAAACUUCUAUAGCGUUUUUCAGCGGAAAAACCGGGACAAUGGCAGCCCUAUAUACAGUCGAUUUUGUAUUUUAUAUUUUUCAGAUAAUAAAUCAAUUUAAA